CCCCGUGCGCCACACAGAGGAUUGACUUGCAGCACUGUUGAUCGGAUUAUCAACUAGCAGGAUGAGGGUCCCUCACACAGAUGAUCGUAUUUGGAGGUCCAUGGCAUCUAAAAGAAUGAAACCCCCUGGUGUAGAUGACAUGAACAAGAGAGAAAAGCAGCACCACACUGUAUACAUACAAAGACAUUUUUAAUGAUGUCACAGCGCAUUUUACAUCUUACAUGAAGUGCCAUCAUAAGCAUUUUAUUUGAAUGGAAAUCAAUGGCAUGAGCACAUGUCCCUGUCCCCCUGAAAUAAAGGGUUGUGGGGAUUUAGAUUGUCAUGGCAAAGGAAUCUAUUCAUCUCUACAGUAUUACAAAGCACCCUGUGUAUGGACAUGUAGAAUGGUCCUUUUAAGCUGUAGUAUCUGAUUCGAGUGUCUAUAAUCUAUUUGAAGUGUUUUACAUAACAUGUUGAAGAUCGGUGUUUAAUAAGUGAAAUUGAAUCAAGUUGGAUCUGAAGAUAACCUGAGAUGCAUUAUUAGACUUCCCUUUGUGUAAAUCUGCUCCCUCUGUAAACAGUUUAAGGCCAUGUUAAUCCAAUAUCAAAGAUGAAUAAACUUUGCAAGAUUUCAGAGAUCUCAAUCUUUUUAACUUAUUUCAGCAUUUUCUAUUUAAAAAGUACAUACAACAGUUUCAAUUAACAAUAAGGUUUUUGGCAGUUGAAAAAAACUUU